UUCUCAAUCUGGGCCAAAAGGGCUUCUUCAGUUGUCCUAAAACAGUCCUGGGCAUCUAGCAGUAAAAACGCAACCCCUAAGAAAGGUUCACACCUAUUGUGCUACAUACAUGAUCACUUUAAUUUCUGCCAACACAUUCUAUGUCAACAAGAACCAGCUUGUUAGCAAAUAUACUGUACCAGAAAGAGAAAAAAUAAUGGAGCCGGGUUCUAUUGAAUUUGAAAAACGAACUCUGUGGUUCUCAUUUUUUAAGAUGGCUGCGACUUCAUGACUCUACAAAAAUGAAAAAGAAACCAGAAAUAUGCAUGUGUUCAUUCCUCAUUGUUUUUUAAAAAAACAAAUUUUCAUACUUAUUAACAUCAACCCAAAUGAAUUACAAUAAAACCAUAAUCUAAACUA